UACGUAGGGUGCAAGCGUUAAUCGGAAUUACUGGGCGUAAAGCGUGCGUAGACGGUUACGUAAGUCGGAUGUGAAAGCCCCGGGCUCAACCUGGGAAUUGCAUUCGAGACUGCGUAGCUAGGAUGCGGAAGAGGGAAGCGGAAUUUCCGGUGUAGCGGUGAAAUGCGUAGAUAUCGGCAGGAACACCAGUGGCGAAAGCGGCUUCCUGGUCCAGCAUCGACGUUCAGGCACGAAAGCGUGGGGAGCAAACAGG
rnacentral:rRNA from 1 species